ensembl:misc_RNA Metazoa_SRP Metazoan signal recognition particle RNA
GCUGGGCAUGGUGGCAGGCACCUGUAAUCCCAGCUACCCGGGAGGCUGAGGCGGGAGAAUUUCUUGAACCUGGGAGGCGGAGGUUGCAGUGAACCGAGAUCGUGCCACUGCACUGUAGCCUGGACAACAGAGUGAGACUCCAUCUUUUUUUUUUGAGACAGAGUCUCACUCUGUUGUCCAGGCUGGAGUGCAGUGGCACAAUCUCGGUUAACUGCAACCUCCACCUCCCAGGUUCAAGAAAUUCUCCCGCCUCAG